GAUAAACGCUGGCGGCGUGCCUAAUACAUGCAAGUCGAGCGAACGGACGAGAAGCUUGCUUCUCUGAUGUUAGCGGCGGACGGGUGAGUAACACGUGGAUAACCUACCUAUAAGACUGGGAUAACUUCGGGAAACCGGAGCUAAUACCGGAUAAUAUUUUGAACCGCAUGGUUCAAAAGUGAAAGACGGUCUUGCUGUCACUUAUAGAUGGAUCCGCGCUGCAUUAGCUAGUUGGUAAGGUAACGGCUUACCAAGGCAACGAUGCAUAGCCGACCUGAGAGGGUGAUCGGCCACACUGGAACUGAGACACGGUCCAGACUCCUACGGGAGGCAGCAGUAGGGAAUCUUCCGCAAUGGGCGAAAGCCUGACGGAGCAACGCCGCGUGAGUGAUGAAGGUCUUCGGAUCGUAAAACUCUGUUAUUAGGGAAGAACAUAUGUGUAAGUAACUGUGCACAUCUUGAUGGUACCUAAUCAGAAAGCCACGGCUAACUACGUGCCAGCAGCCGCGGUAAUACGUAGGUGGCAAGCGUUAUCCGGAAUUAUUGGGCGUAAAGCGCGCGUAGGCGGUUUUUUAAGUCUGAUGUGAAAGCCCACGGCUCAACCGUGGAGGGUCAUUGGAAACUGGAAAACUUGAGUGCAGAAGAGGAAAGUGGAAUUCCAUGUGUAGCGGUGAAAUGCGCAGAGAUAUGGAGGAACACCAGUGGCGAAGGCGACUUUCUGGUCUGUAACUGACGCUGAUGUGCGAAAGCGUGGGGAUCAAACAGGAUUAGAUACCCUGGUAGUCCACGCCGUAAACGAUGAGUGCUAAGUGUUAGGGGGUUUCCGCCCCUUAGUGCUGCAGCUAACGCAUUAAGCACUCCGCCUGGGGAGUACGACCGCAAGGUUGAAACUCAAAGGAAUUGACGGGGACCCGCACAAGCGGUGGAGCAUGUGGUUUAAUUCGAAGCAACGCGAAGAACCUUACCAAAUCUUGACAUCCUUUGACAACUCUAGAGAUAGAGCCUUCCCCUUCGGGGGACAAAGUGACAGGUGGUGCAUGGUUGUCGUCAGCUCGUGUCGUGAGAUGUUGGGUUAAGUCCCGCAACGAGCGCAACCCUUAAGCUUAGUUGCCAUCAUUAAGUUGGGCACUCUAAGUUGACUGCCGGUGACAAACCGGAGGAAGGUGGGGAUGACGUCAAAUCAUCAUGCCCCUUAUGAUUUGGGCUACACACGUGCUACAAUGGACAAUACAAAGGGCAGCGAAACCGCGAGGUCAAGCAAAUCCCAUAAAGUUGUUCUCAGUUCGGAUUGUAGUCUGCAACUCGACUACAUGAAGCUGGAAUCGCUAGUAAUCGUAGAUCAGCAUGCUACGGUGAAUACGUUCCCGGGUCU
rnacentral:rRNA from 1 species